rnacentral:lncRNA from 1 species
GUGUGUUGCGCAUGUACUUUGGGUGGUGCUGUGCUGCAUCAGCUGGAAGGGAUCCAGAGAAAAAGACACAGUCCUCUUUGAAGACACCCAGAGACAGUGGAGCAAGUUGGGACUUGCAGGUGACCAAGAAGGGGGAUCUGAGAACCGGAAUCGUCUCCCCUGGCUCUCCGGAAGUGGAAGCAGAGUCAUUGCUGGUUGGUGCCAGCCCUCAGACUUGCUGCUUUGCAGUAGGAAGAAAGCCUCCCCACACACCUUCCCACACUCAUCACCUUGAGCCAGACUCGAUGUCCAGUGAAUAUGACCAUCUCCUGCCCAUUUUCUAAUGAAUGUUUUCAUUAAUGAUUUAUAAGAAUGUGGUGGGUAAAUCUAUGGGCUUUGAAGCUAGUGAAUCAACUUGGUUUCAGAAUCUGGCACUGCUACUUACUAUGUGAAUUUAAGCAAGUUAUUUCACCUUUCAGUGUCAGUUCCCUCAUG